rnacentral:rRNA from 1 species
AAUACAUGCAAGUCGAGCGGACAGAAGGGAGCUUGCUCCCGGACGUUAGCGGCGGACGGGUGAGUAACACGUAGGUAACCUGCCCCUUAGACUGGGAUAACUCCGGGAAACCGGAGCUAAUACGGGAUAAUAAAGAGAAUCACCUGAUUCUCUUUUGAAAGACGGUUUCGGCUGUCACUAAGGGAUGGGCCUGCGGCGCAUUAGCUAGUUGGUAAGGUAACGGCUUACCAAGGCGACGAUGCGUAGCCGACCUGAGAGGGUGAUCGGCCACACUGGGACUGAGACACGGCCCAGACUCCUACGGGAGGCAGCAGUAGGGAAUCUUCCGCAAUGGACGAAAGUCUGACGGAGCAACGCCGCGUGAGUGAGGAAGGCCUUCGGGUCGUAAAGCUCUGUUGUGAGGGAGGAACAAGUACCGGGGUAACUACCGGUACCUUGACGGUACCUCACCAGAAAGCCACGGCUAACUACGUGCCAGCAGCCGCGGUAAUACGUAGGUGGCAAGCGUUGUCCGGAAUUAUUGGGCGUAAAGCGCGCGCAGGCGGCUUCUUAAGUCUGAUGUGAAAUCUCGGGGCUCAACCCCGAGCGGCCAUUGGAAACUGGGAAGCUUGAGUGCAGAAGAGGAGAGUGGAAUUCCACGUGUAGCGGUGAAAUGCGUAGAUAUGUGGAGGAACACCAGUGGCGAAGGCGACUCUCUGGUCUGUAACUGACGCUGAGGCGCGAAA